CCUACGGGAGGCAGCAGUGGGGAAUAUUGGACAAUGGGGGAAACCCUGAUCCAGCGACGCCGCGUGAGUGAAGAAGUAUUUCGGUACGUAAAGCUCUAUCAGCAGGAAAGAAAAUGACGGUACCUGACUAAGAAGCCCCGGCUAACUACGUGCCAGCAGCCGCGGUAAUACGUAGGGGGCAAGCGUUAUCCGGAUUUACUGGGUGGAAAGGGAGCGUAGACGGCAGCGCAGGUCUGGAGUGAAAUGCCGGGGCCCAACCCCGGAACUGCUCUGGAAACUGUGAAGCUGGAGUGCAGGAGAGGUAAGCGGAAUUCCUGGUGUAGCGGUGAAAUGCGUAGAUAUCAGGAGGAACACCGGCGGCGAAGGCGGCUUACUGGACUGUAACUGACGUUGAGGCUCGAAGGCGUGGGGAGCAAACAGGAUUAGAUACCCGGGUAGUC
rnacentral:rRNA from 1 species